rnacentral:rRNA from 1 species
AUAUCAAUAAGCGGAGGAAAAGAAACCAACCAGGGAUUGCCCUAGUAACGGCGAGUGAAGCGGCAACAGCUCAAAUUUGAAAUCUGGCCCUAGCGGUCCGAGUUGUAAUUUGCAGAGGAUGCUUUUGGUGCGGUGCCUUCCGAGUUCCCUGGAACGGGACGCCAGAGAGGGUGAGAGCCCCGUACGGUUGGACACCUACCCUAUAUAUAGCUCCUUCGACGAGUCGAGUAGUUUGGGAAUGCUGCUCUAAAUGGGAGGUAAAUUUCUUCUAAAGCUAAAUACCGGCCAGAGACCGAUAGCGCACAAGUAGAGUGAUCGAAAGAUGAAAAGCACUUUGAAAAGAGGGUUAAAUAGCACGUGAAAUUGUUGAAAGGGAAGCGUUUGCGACCAGACCUUUUCCAGGCGGAUCAUCCGGUGUUCUCACCGGUGCACUUCGCCUGGUUUAGGCCAGCAUCGGUUUUCUUAGGGGGAUAAAGGCUUGGGGAACGUAGCUCUUUAGGGAGUGUUAUAGCCCCUCGCGUAAUACCCCUCGGGGGACCGAGGACCGCGCUCUGCAAGGAUGCUGGCGUAAUGGUCGUCAACGACCCGUCUUGAAACACGGACCAAGGAGUCGAACAUUUGUGCGAGUGUUUGGGUGUUAAACCCUCACGCGUAAUGAAAGUGAACGGAGGUGAGAGCCCUCACGGGUGCAUCAUCGACCGAUCCUGAUGUCUUCGGAUGGAUUUGAGUAAGAGCAUAACUGUUCGGACCCGAAAGAUGGUGAACUAUGCGUGGAUAGGGUGAAGCCAGAGGAAACUCUGGUGGAGGCUCGCAGCGGUUCUGACGUGCAAAUCGAUCGUCAAAUCUGCGCAUGGGGGCGAAAGACUUAUCGAACCAUCUAGUAGCUGGUUA